CAGACUCACUUUGGGAAGUUGGAGGAAUGUAUCCUGUGCCAACAGUGAAGACAUGGAGCUGAUGAUACCCACCUUCUCUAUGGGCAGAAUCUUAUGACGAUCCAUACCCAAAGAACCAGAGCCCACAGAUGCCAGAGUCACCCAGAUACCCAGGCAUUAUGUGACAGAGAUGGAACAAGCAGUAACUCUGUGAUGUGAGCCAAUUUAUAGCCAUGACACCCUUUUCUAGUACAGACAGACUGAGGUACAGUGACUGGAAUUACUGAUUAACAGUUGCAGAAGAGAUGUUAUGAAUGAGACAGGGAUGCCCAAGGACCGAUUCUCAGCUGAGAUGUCUGAUGGAUCAUUUCCUACUCUGAAGAUCCGGCACACAGAUCCCGGGGAUUCAGCCAUGUGUCUUUGUGCCAGCAGCUUAGCCACAGCACUGCAGAGUCAUCCCAAUCCGUGCUGAAACCAUUGCUUCCCCUUCUGGCUCCAGCCCCAAGUCCUUGUAGCAGUCUUUCCAGGCUCCUCCCCAUCAGUGAAGCAAAUGGGUUUGGUGUUCCACUGUCCCCAGGGAAGGCAAGAACAGAAUAUAAUGAGGAAUCACAUUAGGAAACUUUCCGUAGGAAGGCAAUAUGGAGCUGGUUCUUGGCAUUCCUCACAAAUUGUCACAGAGGGUGAUGAGUCCAAGACUGAGGAUGAAUGUUACCCACUGAACUUCUGAGUGAUGAAGAAAGAUUAAAACUGUGCAGCUAUUGCACAGUGAUAGUUAUCUAGCCUGGAGUAUCUUCAGUUAUGAUUAGAAAACCUGCCUUCACCAUCAGGAUGAUCAGAAUGGCUAAACGGGACCAUGGCUACAAACUCAGAACCGCCCAGAUCUAUCCAAUUUAUCCUAACCAUUCUCAUUAUGAGUUUUCCAUAAAUGUCUUCCUAAUUUUAACACUUUUUUUUUCACAUUUUCAAAGUUUCAUCUUUUUAAAACUUUUCACCUAAAAAUAUUUGUAGCUUCACAGGAAGUUGCAACGUAGAACAGAGGGGUCCAGUGGACCCAUCAUCCAAUUUCCACCAAUGUUUACAUCUUACAUAAUUACACUGAAAUAUCAAGACCAGGAAACUGACAUUGGUACCAUGUGUGCAAGCAGUUCUAAGUCAUUUUAUCACAUAUGUCGGUUCACAUCACCACCACCACAGUCAAGAUACAGAACUGUUGCAACACCACAAAGUCUCCCUCACUUUGCAAU
rnacentral:lncRNA from 1 species